rnacentral:rRNA from 1 species
AUUGAACGCUGGCGGCAGGCCUAACACAUGCAAGUCGAGCGGAUGACGGGAGCUUGCUCCUUGAUUCAGCGGCGGACGGGUGAGUAAUGCCUAGGAAUCUGCCUGGUAGUGGGGGACAACGUUUCGAAAGGAACGCUAAUACCGCAUACGUCCUACGGGAGAAAGCAGGGGACCUUCGGGCCUUGCGCUAUCAGAUGAGCCUAGGUCGGAUUAGCUAGUUGGUGGGGUAAUGGCUCACCAAGGCGACGAUCCGUAACUGGUCUGAGAGGAUGAUCAGUCACACUGGAACUGAGACACGGUCCAGACUUCUACGGGAGGCAGCAGUGGGGAAUAUUGGACAAUGGGCGAAAGCCUGAUCCAGCCAUGCCGCGUGUGUGAAGAAGGUCUUCGGAUUGUAAAGCACUUUAAGUUGGGAGGAAGGGCAGUAAGUUAAUACCUUGCUGUUUCGACGUUACCGACAGAAUAAGCACCGGCUAACUCUGUGCCAGCCGCCGCCGUAA